CAAACUGGAGAAAGCAGUUUUAAACUGUUGUAGAAACAAAAGUAAAAGUAAAAGUAGGUGAAGUGGUUUGUUGUGAAGACCGCGUUUUAUUUGUCUGGGAAUAGACGGAGAAGCUGGUGAUGACCGCGUUGUUUCUCAGCUGACCAGACUGUGGCACAUUGGGUUGGGAGAACAAGGGGCCAGGAGUUGAUCCUCGGUGGAGGACCGUGUCACUGCUCUCCUGACCCAGGCCCAUUGUUAGACCAACCGGUGGCCUGGGCAUCAUGGCUGGGAAUCAGAGUUCUACCACAUCUGCUUUGGGGUAGUCGUGAUGGUGUGCAUCCAAAAUGGCACCCUAUUCCCUAUAGUGCACUACUUUCUACCAAAGUAGUGCACUAUAUAGGAAUAGGGUGCCAUUUCUGACUCAGCCCUGGGGCUCUGGUGACCCUCUGACCCUAAACACAUCUCCACAAUGCCUCUCCCGAAACACACCCAUAUCUGAACAAAGCUUUUUGAUAAAUGGGAUAGAGCUG